GGUGGUGGCACGUGGCCAUUCUUAGUUGGUGGAGUGAUUUCUCUGGUUAAUUCCAGUAACAAAUGAGACUCUGGCAUGUGAACUAGUUACGUGACCCCAACUUCUUAGAGGGCAAGCAGUGUUCAGCUACCUGAGACUGAGCAAUAACAGGUCUGUGAUGCCCC
rnacentral:ncRNA from 1 species